GAGCAUCAGAGUGAGUCAACAGAAUUCCUUCACAGGUUGACUUGGACAAACGAUGUUAAGAAACAUGACCAGAAACCCACUUCUCACUUGAAUUUCACUCUGGUGGUGAUGACUGGCAAGAAGACCCUGAUAGCAGCUGGCAGACCUUCUAAUUUAACCUCUCCCUGCUGACCAGUCAAAUUAAAUUCCAUGCUACACAUUCAUCCUCCCAUUAUUCAAACAUGCUCUCAAUGAGUUCUAUCCUGUACUGUGUGGUUAGCAAAGGCUCCAACACGACAACAUCCCUGCCUGUAUGUCAACAGGAGACUGUAAUUUCUUUUCUUUCUCUCUUCCCUCUUACCCUCCAUACACCAAGUAUGGGUCUUAUUUACCUCAUUCACCAGUCAUAG